rnacentral:snRNA from 1 species
UAGAUCUCUUAUAUUUGAAAA